CUCCCAUUUCUCCUCAUCCCCGAUUGUCUCAUCCAUUUCUCCAAUCAUCCUCAUGGAUUUCUAGCAAUCAUUCUCGCGACUUCUCUAAACCACCUGAAAAGCUUUCGUAUCCUCAACAAAUAGAUAUGUUCUUACUCAGCUGCUUAAAAAUUCUUUCAAUCCAAUUGAAAUAAAGCACUGGUGGUGCCUCGCCGGAACAAUCACCGUCACCUCCACCAAUUCUGUCCCCCAAACUUUGCUCUGUCCAAGGACAAUGGUGGCUGGUGUAAUCCUCUGCUCUAGCACUUCGAUUUGGCCGAGCCUGCUUUCCUUCAAAUUGCUCAGUACCGUGCUGGAAUUGUGCCAGUUGUAUUCAGAAGUUUGAAUCCGAAGACACUUACUCUUUCUUACUUUUUGGUGGCGGUGCCUUGCUUACCCUGUGGCUAGCAUCAACUGUUGUUGGAGCAAUUGAUUCUAUCCUGGUGGUGUGUAGGCUUUUCCUUAGCAUCUUUGUUUUUCAAUCAAGUCAAUAGAUUGUUUUUCCCUAAGUUGACAUAUUGAUGAUAUGCUUAAUUCAAUGAAAUGAAUCAGUUCCCCAAAUUGUUGGAGAUUGUUGGGCUUGGGUCGUGUGACAGGGAGGCUCGACUCGUGGGUCUACGACGUGGCUCGCUCGUGGGUGCGACGGUGCUUGUGGUGGUGGGUCUACGGCGUGGCUCGCUCUACCAGUGCCAUACUCAAAGUCUGGAAGUCUGGGGCUGCUUAUGAGGCCAUGGCCAAACUCAUCACUAAAUAAAUUUAAAUCCAUAUAUGGAUAUUACAUGUAGCUACUCAGCUGGAGUUUUGGAGUUCUGAUAACUUUUUGGAGAAAUUUUUCUGUGGUGGGCGAUUCAUUUUUGGCCCCGAUGCAGCGUCCGUGCUUCUACCUGUAUUUCUUAUAGCUGGGCCUGCAAUUGCCUUUUGUGUAAAGGUUUUUUAUGAAAUAGAUCACAUGAGGUACUACUAUAAAAGUAACUGGAAUCUCGUAUUGGUCGUUGGCGCAAUUCUUACUCUUUUGGACUUGACAUUUCUCUUCCAAACAUCUAGUAGAGAUCCGGGUAUUGUUCCUAGAAAUACAAGGCCUCUUGAACUAGAUGAAGUUGAUGUUCCUACACCGUCAAUGAAUAAAACUUUAGAGUAAGCAUACUUGAGUCAUGGAGGACCCCAGAACCCUUUCUAGUUAGCAUUCCAAAGCUAAUAAGGAAUUGAUUGGAACGUUAAUAUGUGCCAUAGAAAUUUUGCGAUCAAGCUUGGUGAUUG